rnacentral:rRNA from 1 species
AUUGAACGCUGGCGGCAGGCUUAACACAUGAAAGUCGAGCGGAGAUGAGGUGCUUGCACCUUAUCUUAGCGGCGGACGGGUGAGUAAUGCUUAGGAAUCUGCCUAUUAGUGGGGGACAACAUUCCGAAAGGAAUGCUAAUACCGCAUACGCCCUACGGGGGAAAGCAGGGGAUCUUCGGACCUUGCGCUAAUAGAUGAGCCUAAGUCGGAUUAGCUAGUUGGUGGGGUAAAGGCCUACCAAGGCGACGAUCUGUAGCGGGUCUGAGAGGAUGAUCCGCCACACUGGGACUGAGACACGGCCCAGACUCCUACGGGAGGCAGCAAUGGGGAAUAUUGGACAAUGGGCGGAAGCCUGAUCCAGCCAUGCCGCGUGUGUGAAGAAGGCCUUUUGGUUGUAAAGCACUUUAAGCGAGGAGGAGGCUACCUGGAUUAAUACUCUAGGAUAGUGGACGUUACUCGCAGAAUAAGCACCGGCUAACUCUGUGCCAGCCGCCGCGGUAAAAC